UUUGGCCACUGUGGGGACACAGGAUACUGGGCUAUAGUGGGUCCGACCCACUAUAGCCCUUUGCUGCCGGUAUUGCUCCUUAUUAACAUUAAGAAACCACACGAUGAGAGACCUGAGUUCCAAAUAUCUAGAUGAAGACAUACAGUGACGGCUACUAACCUGCAUGGCUUCUCUGGCAGGUUCUGGUGGCUCCUGCAGCCGAUGACAAGGGAGACCGCUGGAGGGCUCCCCGACUGUUUAUAGGGAUAACGCCCAGUCCCCACACAUCACAGAGGGCAAAUCUCUAUGUCUGCGUAUGAGCUAGGAUUUAUUACAGGUGUCGGCAGAGGUUUGCAGCCCAAGGCUCAGACUUCAGCCGACUCUCCCGAGCUGUCCAAGCUCCGUUGGGUCAGCGGCUGGACUGGAGAUAUCUGAAACCUCGCAAAUGAUUAAAUGUGUUUUCAUUGCGCUGGCCCUGGCACCGCGUGCGCUUUCCCAGCUGCAGCUGGUGGCCUCCGGCCCAAAGCUGGGGAAGGUCUCCGAGCCCCUCACACUGAAGUGCGCUGUCUCCGGGGUCUCCAUCAAUACUCAGUAUUACUACUGGUACUGGCUCCGUCAGCCUCCCGGAGAAGGGCUGGAGUCCAUGGGAUAUGUUUAUCCGUAUGACGGGCGCACGAGCUACAGCCCGUCUCUCCGAGGCCGGAUCAUCAUCUCUGCAGACGCUGCCAAGAACCAGGUUUCCCUGACGCUUCGCUCCCUGACAGCUGCGGACACCGCCACCUAUUACUGCGCCUGGAGAGACACAGUGACACGGAGACAGGGGGCCUGGGACAAAAAGGGGGCGAGCCACACGCUUCGCCUCCCAGAGAGAAGGCACCUGACUUUGCCCGUGCGGUCCGCUCCCUUCUGAGGUCACUUUCAGUUGAAGGAGACGCUUUGGCAGAGGCGCCCACGAAGCUGGAGAGAAGGAGAGAAAGAGGAAACACCUGCGCUUGCGAAUGGGCAGGAGAGAGACUUUGUUACAGGGAUUUUGCACUUUUGGAAACCACCAAUCCGGACCUGAGGUUACAACAGACUGUCCUGUCUGCUCCGCAGCUGAACUGGGGAGCUGAGGGUCUGGGGGGACCUCUGAAAAAUGACUGGUAUUUCCUGGCUGCCCUAGCCUUGGCCUAUGGGAGGGUCUGUCUGUGGGUGAGUUUUUCCUGGAAGGGUAGAAAAUUUGUGGGUGGGUGUGUUUUCCUCCACGAGUAAAUCCAUUUAAGCUGCUGACACCUACAGUGCUUUACUCUAGAAUGUCUCCUGAUUUACACUCCUGGAGGAGUGAGAGGGGAAUCAGCCUAACUCAGGGGUUCUCACACAUCAUUGCACCACGACGCCCUUCUGACAAGAAAAAUUACUACAGGACCCCAGGACAGGGAAUCGAAGCCUGAGCCCACCCAAACUCAGCUGUCCCGGUGUGUGUGGGGGCCAAACCCCGAGCCCCACCGCUCUGCGCAGGAGUCCAAAGGCUUCAGCCCCAGGCGGGAGGUCUGUAAGCCUGGGGACUCACCACCCAGGGCUGAAGCUCUUGGGGUUUGACUUUGGCCCCCGGCGGUGGAGCUUGGGUUUUGGCCCCAGCAAGUCUAACACCAGCCCUGAUGCUCCCAUUAAAACACGGUCCCAACCCACAGUUUGAGAGCUGCUGCCCUAAAAUGAGUGACUGGAGAAUUAGCCCUGACAAGACAAUGGAGUUUCCAUUGAGAGUCAGUCGCAUCGACCCCAGUGGAAUUACUCCUGCUUUACACUGAGGUGCUGGCAGGGCUGAUCCUCCACUCUGGCACUUCGAGUGCAGAAGGUGGGGGCAGCAAGGACUUCAAAAAUUAAAACUUGCCACUCCAGGCUGGUAAUGCUGCCAAGUGAAAAUUGCCUUUUGCCAAUCCAGAAAAACCUCACUUGGGGAGAUUUUUUUCUGAGGCCCUUCAACUUUUCCACCCCUCCCUGGGGCAGCCCAGAACGAAAACAAUAGAAAAGGGGAACCCAGCUGUUGUAUCAGCUGAUUAACAUAUGUACAGCCUCUUUACCCCCUCAGACACAGAAAUCUAAUCAUGUUCUUAAAAAGGGUGCAUUUUAUUGAAAAAAGAAAGAAAACACAUCUGAAAACUCAGGUUGUUAGGGAUUAAACAC